rnacentral:lncRNA from 1 species
UUUCCAGAACUACCGCUUUUGAAAAGCAAGAAUAUUCUGAAUGAUUUAUAGACCAUGCUUGUGUAUUAAUACUAAUAUAUUCUAAAGUGUCCACAAUUUCAUGGUGUUUUCACAACCUUUUGGCCGUUGGCAUGUGUACGUAUAAUGAUUUCUCAAAUUGUUUUGACGGAAAAGAGGCAAACAAAACAAGAGGAAUAAUAAUAGUAAUAAUCACAAACA